rnacentral:pre_miRNA from 1 species
UGGCACCAACUAGCUAGUUCGGAUUAGGCUUCCUAUCCGAACUAGCUGUACACCUCAUUCCACGAGGCGUACAGCUAGUUCGGAUAGGAAGCCUAAUCCGAACUAGCUAG